GUCCACGCUGUAAACGAUGGGUACUAGGUUUGGUGGGUCUUGACCCCCGCCGAACCGGCGCUAACGCACUAAGUACCCGCCUGGGAAGUACGGUCGCAAGACUAAAACUCAAAGGAAUUGACGGGGGCCCGCACAAGCGGUGAUCAUGUGGUUUAAUUCGAAGCAACGCGAAGAACCUUACCUGGGUUUGACAUCCCCGGACAGCCGUAUAGAUACGGUUUUCGUAGCAAUACGACCGGGAGACAGGUGCUGCAUGGCUGUCGU
rnacentral:rRNA from 1 species